rnacentral:misc_RNA from 1 species
AAAGUCGUAACAAGGUUUCCGUAGGUGAACCUGCGGAAGGAUCAUUAUAGUAGUAGGGACUUCGGUCCCUCCGUAAUGGAACCCUUGCCUUUUUUUAGCGUCUCUCCGUUUCCUCGGCAGCUCCGCCUGCCAGCGAGGACCCCCAAAAAACCUUUGCAAUCCAGUAAAAUAUUCAGAAUUACACAAACGUUAAAACUUUCAACAAUGGAUCUCUUGGCUCUG